rnacentral:rRNA from 1 species
CUACGGGUGGCUGCAGUGGGGAAUAUUGGACAAUGGAGGAAACUCUGAUCCAGCCAUGCCGCGUGAAUGAUGAAGGCCCUCGGGUUGUAAAAUUCUUUUAGUAGGGAAGAUGAUGACGGUACCUACAGAAUAAGCUCCGGCUAACUUCGUGCCAGCAGCCGCAGUAAUACGAAGAGAGCUAGCGUUGUUCGGAAUUACUGGGCGUAAAGGGUGCGUAGGCGGUUUAAUUAGUCAGAUGUGAAAGCCCCGGGCUCAACCUGGGAACUGCGUUUGAUACUGUUAGACUAGAAUUCGGUAGAGGUGAGUGGAAUUCCCAGUGUAGAGGUGAAAUUCGUAGAUAUUGGGAAGAACACCAGUGGCGAAGGCGGCUCACUGGACCGACAUUGACGCUGAGGCACGAAAGCGUGGGGAGCAAACAGGAUUAGAUACCCCAGUAGUC